UACAGAGACUGCAAGCGUUAUUCGGAUUCACUGGGCGUAAAGGGUGCGCAGGCGGCCGUGUGUGUGAGGCGUGAAAGCCCGGGGCUCAACCCCGGAAUUGCACCUCAAACUACAUGGCUAGAGCAUUGGAGAGGGUAGCGGAAUUCACGGUGUAGCAGUGAAAUGCGUAGAUAUCGAGAGGAACACCAGUGGCGAAGGCGAGUCCCUGGACAGGUCCUGACGCUGAGGCACGAAAGCUAGGGGAGCAAACAGG
rnacentral:rRNA from 1 species